rnacentral:tRNA from 2 species
GCCACCGUAGCAUAGCGGCUAAUGCAGCUGAUUCGUAAUCAGCAGAUCGGGGGUCCAAAUCCCUCCGGUGGCU